rnacentral:rRNA from 1 species
CCUACGGGGGGCAGCAGUAGGGAAUUUUCGGCAAUGGGGGGAACCCUGACCGAGCAACGCCGCGUGAACGAAGAAGUUAUUCGUAAUGUAAAGUUCUUUCAACAGGGAAGAAAGAGAAAUUUGACGGUACCUGAAGAAUAAGCUCCGGCUAACUACGUGCCAGCAGCCGCGGUAAUACGUAGGGAGCGAGCGUUAUCCGAAAUUAUUGGGCGAAAAGGGUGCGUAGAUGGCAUAGUAAGUCUUUUGUAAAAAUGCUGGGCUAAACCCAGUAGGGCAAAAGAUACUGCAAAGCUAGAGUAUGACAGAGGCAAGUGGAACUACAUGUGUAGCGGUAAAAUGCGUAAAUAUAUGUAAGAACACCAGUGGCGAAGGCGGCUUGCUGGGUCGAUACUGACAUUGAGGCACGAAAGCGUGGGGAGCAAACAGGAUUAGAUACCCCAGUAGUC